rnacentral:rRNA from 1 species
AGAGUUUGAUCAUGGCUCAGAUUGAACGCUGGCGGCAGGCCUAACACAUGCAAGUCGAGCGGUAGCACAGAGAGCUUGCUCUCGGGUGACGAGCGGCGGACGGGUGAGUAAUGUCUGGGAAACUGCCUGAUGGAGGGGGAUAACUACUGGAAACGGUAGCUAAUACCGCAUAACGUCGCAAGACCAAAGUGGGGGACCUUCGGGCCUCAUGCCAUCAGAUGUGCCCAGAUGGGAUUAGCUAGUAGGUGGGGUAACGGCUCACCUAGGCGACGAUCCCUAGCUGGUCUGAGAGGAUGACCAGCCACACUGGAACUGAGACACGGUCCAGACUCCUACGGGAGGCAGCAGUGGGGAAUAUUGCACAAUGGGCGCAAGCCUGAUGCAGCCAUGCCGCGUGUGUGAAGAAGGCCUUCGGGUUGUAAAGCACUUUCAGCGGGGAGGAAGGCGGUAAGGUUAAUAACCUCAUCGAUUGACGUUACCCGCAGAAGAAGCACCGGCUAACUCCGUGCCAGCAGCCGCGGUAAUACGGAGGGUGCAAGCGUUAAUCGGAAUUACUGGGCGUAAAGCGCACGCAGGCGGUCUGUCAAGUCGGAUGUGAAAUCCCCGGGCUCAACCUGGGAACUGCAUUCGAAACUGGCAGGCUAGAGUCUUGUAGAGGGGGGUAGAAUUCCAGGUGUAGCGGUGAAAUGCGUAGAGAUCUGGAGGAAUACCGGUGGCGAAGGCGGCCCCCUGGACAAAGACUGACGCUCAGGUGCGAAAGCGUGGGGAGCAAACAGGAUUAGAUACCCUGGUAGUCCACGCCGUAAACGAUGUCGAUUUGGAGGUUGUGCCCUUGAGGCGUGGCUUCCGGAGCUAACGCGUUAAAUCGACCGCCUGGGGAGUACGGCCGCAAGGUUAAAACUCAAAUGAAUUGACGGGGGCCCGCACAAGCGGUGGAGCAUGUGGUUUAAUUCGAUGCAACGCGAAGAACCUUACCUGGUCUUGACAUCCACAGAACUUUCCAGAGAUGGAUUGGUGCCUUCGGGAACUGUGAGACAGGUGCUGCAUGGCUGUCGUCAGCUCGUGUUGUGAAAUGUUGGGUUAAGUCCCGCAACGAGCGCAACCCUUAUCCUUUGUUGCCAGCGGU